rnacentral:rRNA from 1 species
GGGUGGGGGGGCAACUCUCCAUUCAGUGGCGAACGGGUGAGUAAUGCAUCGGAACGUGUCCCGUAGUGGGGGAUAACGCCGGGAAACCGGCGCUAAUACCGCAUAUGCUCUACGGAGGAAAGUGGGGGACCGCAAGGCCUCACGCUAUGGGAGCGGCCGAUGUCCGAUUAGCUUGUUGGCGGGGUAAAGGCCCACCAAGGCGACGAUCGGUAGCUGGUCUGAGAGGAUGAUCAGCCACACUGGGACUGAGACACGGCCCAGACUCCUACGGGAGGCAGCAGUGGGGAAUUUUGGACAAUGGGGGCAACCCUGAUCCAGCCAUGCCGCGUGCGGGAAGAAGGCCUUCGGGUUGUAAACCGCUUUUGGUCGGAAAGAAAAGGCGGGGGCUAAUACCCUCCGUUCUUGACGGUACCGGCAGAAUAAGCACCGGCUAACUACGUGCCAGCAGCCGCGGUAAUACGUAGGGUGCGAGCGUUAAUCGGAAUUACUGGGCGUAAAGCGUGCGCAGGCGGUUCGUUGUGUCUGAUGUGAAAUCCCCGGGCUCAACCCGGGAACUGCAUUGG